rnacentral:piRNA from 1 species
UAUCCAGAGCAUGAGGAGUACUUGUGAU